UCAAGUUAUUAAGGGUGCAGGGCGGAUGCCUUGGCACUAGGAGCCGAUGAAGGACGUGAUAAGCUGCGAUAAGCUUCGGGGAGUUGCACGUAAACUUUGAUCCGAAGAUUUCCGAAUGAGGAAACUCACUUAGAGUAAUGUCUAAGUAUCAUUAAGUGAAUACAUAGCUUAAUGAGGGGAACUCAGGGAACUGAAACAUCUAAGUACCUGAAGGAAGAGAAAGAAAUUCGAUUCCGUAAGUAGCGGCGAGCGAACGCGGAUUAGCCCAAACCAAUAAAGUUUUCUUUAUUGGGGUUGCGGACAUAUCAUAACGAAGAGGUAUCGUAAUUGAAGAGGUUUGGAAAGACCCACCACAGAAGGUAAUAGUCCUGUAUGCUAAACGAGAAGACUUCAGAUAUGAUCCAGAGUACCACGGGACACGUGAAACCCUGUGGGAAGCAGGAGGGACCACCCUCCAAGGCUAAAUACUACCUAGUGACCGAUAGCGUAUAGUACCGUGAGGGAAAGGUGAAAAGAACCCCGGGAGGGGAGUGAAAUAGAACCUGAAACCCUGCACUUACAAGCUGUGGAAGCACAUUUCUUGUGUGACCGCGUACUUUUUGUAGAACGGGCCAACGAGUUACGUUAAGUAGCAAGGUUAAGCACUUAAGGUGCGGAGCCGUAGCGAAAGCGAGUUUUAACUGAGCGUUCAGUUACUUGACGUAGACCCGAAACCGGGCGACCUACCCAUGAGCAGGAUGAAGCGAAAGUAAAAUUUCGUGGAGGUCCGAACCCACGAGCGUUGAAAAGCUCGGGGAUGACUUGUGGGUAGCGGUGAAAUUCCAAUCGAGCCCGGAGAUAGCUGGUUCUCCCCGAAAUAGCUUUAGGGCUAGCCUCAAGGUGAGAGAUACGGAGGUAGAGCACUGAAUGUCCUAGGGGGUAUUGCACCUACCGAAGACUAUCAAACUCCGAAUGCCGUCAUCUUAUACUUGGGAGUCAGACUGUGGGUGAUAAGAUUCAUAGUCGAAAGGGCAACAGCCCAGAUCGUCAGCUAAGGUCCCUAAAUGUAAGUUAAGUGGUAAAGGAUGUGGGAUUGCACAGACAACCAGGAUGUUGGCUUAGAAGCAGCCACUCAUUCAAAGAGUGCGUAAUAGCUCACUGGUCGAGUGAUCCUGCGCCGAAGAUUUCCGGGGCUAAAACUUACUACCGAAGCUACGGCAUCAGUAAUGAUGGGUAGGGGAGCUUCCCAUACGGGUUGAAGCAUGACCGUAAGGACAUGUGGACAGUAUGGGAGUGAGAAUGUUGGCAUGAGUAGCGAGAUGUGGGUGAGAAUCCCACAGGCCGUAAACCCAAGGUUUCCAGGGGAAGGUUCGUCCGCCCUGGGUUAGUCGGGACCUAAGCUGAGGCCGAAAGGCGUAGGUGAUGGACAACAGGUUGAUAUUCCUGUACUACCGAUAACCGUUUGAGAGAAGGGAUGACACAGUAGGAUAAGCUAAGCACACUGUUGGUUAUGUGUGCCCAAGCAUUGAGGCAGUCAAAGUAGGCAAAUCCGCUUUGAUAAUGCUGGGAUGUGAUGGGGAGCGAAAUUUAGUAGCGAAGUAGCUGAUUUCACACUGUCAAGAAAAGUCUCUAUCGAGGUUAAAGGUACCCGUACCGCAAACCGACACGGGUGGGUGAGGAGAGUAUCCUAAGGCCAGCGAGAGAACUGUUGUUAAGGAACUCGGCAAAAUGACCCCGUAACUUAGGGAUAAGGGGUGCCACCAUCUGGUGGCCGCAGAGAAUAGGCCCAAGCGACUGUUUACCAAAAACAUAGGUUUCUGCUAAGUCGCAAGACGAUGUAUAGGAGCUGACGCCUGCCCGGUGCUGGAAGGUUAAGGGGAUCUGUUAGAGCAAUCGAAGCAGUGAACUUAAGCCCCAGUAAACGGCGGCCGUAACUAUAACGGUCCUAAGGUAGCGAAAUUCCUUGUCGGGUAAGUUCCGACCCGCACGAAAGGCGUAACGAUUUGGGCACUGUCUCAACAACAGACUCGGUGAAAUUGUAAUUCCGGUGAAGAUGCCGGAUACCUGCGACAGGACGGAAAGACCCCAUGGAGCUUUACUGUAGCUUGACAUUGGGUCUUGGUACUACAUGUACAGGAUAGGUGGGAGGCUUUGAAACCAGGACGCCAGUUUUGGCGGAGCCAUCCUUGGGAUACCACCCUUGUAGUACUGGGACUCUAACCAUAGGCCAUGAAUCUGGUCUUGGGACACUGUCAGGUGGGCAGUUUGACUGGGGCGGUCGCCUCCCAAAAGGUAACGGAGGCGCUCAAAGGUUCUCUCAGUACGGUCGGAAAUCGUACGUAGAGUGUAAAGGCAAAAGAGAGCUUGAUUGCAAGACAUACAGGUCGAGCAAGGAUGAAAAUCGGACUUAGUGAUCCGGUGGUUCUGCGUGGAAGGGCCAUCGCUCAACGGAUAAAAGCUACCCUGGGGAUAACAGGCUUAUCUCCCCCAAGAGUCCACAUCGACGGGGAGGUUUGGCACCUCGAUGUCGGCUCAUCACAUCCUGGGGCUGUAGUAGGUCCCAAGGGUUGGGCUGUUCGCCCAUUAAAGUGGUACGCGAGCUGGGUUCAGAACGUCGUGAGACAGUUCGGUCCCUAUCCGUCGCAGGCGUAGGAAAUUUGAGAAGACCUGUCCUUAGUACGAGAGGACCGGGAUGGACGUACCUCUGGUGUACCAGUUGUUCUGCCAAGGGCAUGGCUGGGUAGCUAUGUACGGAAUGGAUAAGCGCUGAAAGCAUCUAAGCGCGAAGCCAACUUCAAGAUAAGAUUUCCCACCGCAAGGGUAAGACCCCAGAAAGACUAUCUGGUUGAUAGGUCGAAGGUGUAAGUGCAGCAAUGUAUUUAGCUUAUCGAUACUAAUAGGUCGAGGACUUGACCAA
rnacentral:rRNA from 1 species